rnacentral:rRNA from 1 species
GACGAACGCUGGCGGCGUGCUUAACACAUGCAAGUCGGACGAGUGGCGAACGGGUAAGUAACGCAUCGGAACGUACCGAGGAAUGGGGGAUAACUGUCCGACAGGACAGCUAAUACCGCAUAGUAUUAGAGAGGCCGAUGUCUGAUUAGCUGGUUGGCGGGGUAAAGGCCCACCAAGGCGACGAUCAGUAGCGGGUCUGAGAGGAUGAUCCGCCAGACUGGGACUGAGACACUGCCCAGACUCCUACGGUAGGCAGCAGUGGGGAAUUUUGGACAAUGGGCGCAAGCCUGAUCCAGCCAUGCCGCGUGUCUGAAGAAGGCCUUCGGGUUGUAAAGGACUUUUGUCAGUGAAGCGGUACCUGAAGAAUAAGCACCGGCUAACUACGUGCCAGCAGCCGCGGUAAUUC